GACGACGCUGGCGGCGUGCCUAACACAUGCAAGUCGAGCGGAGUCGAUCGACGGAAGCCUUCGGGCGGAAGAUGGUUGACUUAGCGGCGGAUGGGUGAGUAACGCGUGGGCAACCUGCCUCGAAGACCGGGAUAACAGCCCGAAAGGGCUGCUAAUACCGGAUGUGGUCAAGGAUCCGCAUGGAUUUUUGAUUAAAGGGGAAACCCGUUUCGAGAUGGGCCCGCGUCCUAUCAGCUAGUUGGUGAGGUAAAAGCUCACCAAGGCGACGACGGGUAGCCGGCCUGAGAGGGUGACCGGCCACACUGGAACUGAGACACGGUCCAGACUCCUACGGGGGGCAGCAGUGGGGAAUCUUCCACAAUGGGCGAAAGCCCGAUGGAGCGACGCCGCGUGAGCGAAGAAGGCCUUCGGGUUGUAAAGCUCUGUCUGGAGGGACGAAGGAAGUGACGGUACCUCCGGAGGAAGCCACGGCUAACUACGUG
rnacentral:rRNA from 1 species